GGGCCCGUAGCUCAGUUGGUUAGAGCGCGUCGUUGACAUCGACGAGGUCAGCCGUUCGAGUCGGCUCGGGCCCA
rnacentral:tRNA from 2 species